UCCCAGUCCCGUGUUUGCAGUAAAUGGGGAAUUCCCUCAGCGCGGCUGCAGGCCUGAGUGAGCGCCGCCAUCUUUAUUCGGGACAACGAUUCACUGGGGACGUGCGGAGCCGCCAUCUUUGUAGGGGGCAAGAUACCAGUGAUCAAUGCCAAAGCCCUGUUGCCUGUGGAGAGGGUGAUGUUUGAAUUUCUUGUACAGCUUCAGUUUGUGUGGUGAAGAUGCUCCCACAAUGUGGUUGGAUUCCAUCAUCUGCCAAGACGGGAUUCGAACCAGGACUUCAGUCGUUUUUUUUAAUAUUCUGGAUAAAAGCUAAAUACAUCAGGAUGAGGGUGUCACUGGCUGGACCCAAAGGGGAGUGACGU